rnacentral:rRNA from 1 species
UACGUAGGGACCGAGCGUUGUCCGGAUUCAUUGGGCGUAAAGAGCUCGUAGGCGGCCACUCAAGUCGAAUGUGAAACCUCGAGGCUUAACCUCGAGCCUGCAUUCGAUACUGGGCGGCUAGAGUCUGGUAGGGGGAUCUGGAAUUCCUGGUGUAGCGGUGGAAUGCGUUGAUAUCGACCGGAACUCCGGUGGCGAAGGCGAGGUGCUGGGCCCUUUCUGACGCUGAGUGCGCGAAAGCCAGGGGAGCAAACGGG